rnacentral:rRNA from 1 species
UUCGCAAUGCCCGAAAGGGUGACGAAGCGACGCCGCGUGUGGGAAGAAGGCCUUCGGGUUGUAAACCACUGUCGGGAGUUAGGAAAUGCAGGUGCGUUAAUAGCGCACUUGCUUGACUAAGGCUCCAGAGGAAGCCACGGCUAACUCUGUGCCAGCAGCCGCGGUAAUACAGAGGCGGCAAGCGUUGUUCGGAAUUAUUGGGCGUAAAGAGCACGUAGGCGGCCCUGCAAGUCAGUUGUGAAAGCCUUCCGCUUAACGGAAGAACGGCAUCUGAUACUACAGGGCUUGAGUACGGGAGGGGAGAGUGGAACUUCUGGUGGAGCGGUGAAAUGCGUAGAUAUCAGAAGGAACGCCGGCGGCGAAAGCGACUCUCUGGUCCGAAACUGACGCUGAGUGUGCGAAAGCUAGGGGAGCAAACGGGAUUAGAUACCCCGGUAGUCCUAGCCGUAAACGAUGGGCACUAAGUAGAGGGGUUUUA